UUUGGCUCGUACGGUGGGGACACAACCGGUGGAAUAGGAAUAUAAGGUGGUGGCUUCACAACCGGAGGCUUCGGCACAUACUGUGGUUUCAUGAGCGGUGGUUUUGGCUGACACGACGGCGACACAACUGGUGGCGGCGGCUUCACAACAUGAGGUGGUGGCUUCACAGCCGAAGACUUUGGCACAUACGGUGGUUUCACGACCGGUCGUUUUGGCUGAUAUUGUGGCGACACAACUGGCGGCGGCAGCUUCGCAACAUAAGUUGGUGGCUUCACAGCUGAAAGCUUCGGCACAUAUGGUGGUUUUGGCUGAUACGGUGGCGACAAAACUAGUGGCGGCGGCUUCACAACAUAAGGGACGAUGAGUUCAUCAAAUAAUUCCAAGGGAAAAAAGUGCAUCGGAGAUCAUUUAGGCUAUGGAAGCAGGUAUGUUUCUGAUGAUAAUGGAAAUAAACCAUCCAAGGGCAAGAAAAGCUGCAUAGGAGAUCAUUUAGGUUAUGGACGCACUUAUGCUUCCGAUAAUAAUGGAAACAAAUCAUCAAAGGGCGGGAAAAGCUGCAUAGGAGAUCAUUUAGGCUAUGGAAGCACUUAUGUCUCUGGUGAUAAUGGAAACAAACCAUCAAAAGGAAGCAGCAAGGAGCCAACCAUAGGGGACCUGAUGGGCUACGGCGAGAAGCCACCUCCGACCGACAAGUAAACAAUGCUUCUCCAUCAUCACUACUCCGACCUCGUCGUGUCGUCACGCUGAUUCUCAAAGCUACUUUUUACAUGUUUCCUU